GGGGCCGAUCCGGAUUCGACGUGGGUCAUGAAACAGAGCAGGGCAUGUCGAGCACCAGUUCGCUCGUAAAUCCACUGGAAAACUACAAACGCCAACGACGAGCGUUUCGCUCUGGCCGCUUAAGCGGUGAGCCGCUGCACUGAUUUGUCUUUGGGUCAGCCAGGGUAAAACCUGGAGCAGCGUCAUCUACAAAGAAUCGGGUCUGUCUGGGUCACGAAGCCAGAUCUUAAAUCCAGUGAAUCGCCAAGGAAGGGCCUGUCGAUAGGCAUGAUCCAAGGUUAAAACUUAAAAUUUAUCGACUACACAUGUAGAACUGCCUGCGGAGGGCUUGCGGACGCGGGUUCAAUUCCCGCCGGCUCCACCA
rnacentral:tmRNA from 2 species